GGAUCUCACCCGUGGUAUACCGU
rnacentral:siRNA from 1 species